AUUGAACGCUGGCGGCAUGCCUUACACAUGCAAGUCGAACGGCAGCACGGGUGCUUGCACCUGGUGGCGAGUGGCGAACGGGUGAGUAAUACAUCGGCACAUGUCCUGUAGUGGGGGAUAGCCCGGCGAAAGCCGGAUUAAUACCGCAUACGAUCCACGGCUUAAAGCGGGGGACCUUCGGUCCUCGCGCUAUAGGGUUGGCCGAUGGCUGAUUAGCUAGUUGGUGGGGUAAAGGCCUACCAAGGCGACGAUCAGUAGCUGGUCUGAGAGGACGACCAGCCACACUGGGACUGAGACACGGCCCAGACUCCUACGGGAGGCAGCAGUGGGGAAGUUUGGACAAGGGGCGAAAGCCUGAUCCAGCAAUGCCGCGUGUGUGAAGAAGGCCUGCGGGUUGUAAAGCACUUUUGUCCGGAAAGAAAUCCUUGGCUGUAAUACAGUCGGGGGAUGACGGUACCGGAAGAAUAAGCACCGGCUAACUACGU
rnacentral:rRNA from 1 species